UACGGAGGGAGCUAGCGUUGUUCGGAAUUACUGGGCGUAAAGCGCACGUAGGCGGCUUUGUAAGUUAGAGGUGAAAGCCUGGGGCUCAACUCCAGAAUUGCCUUUAAGACUGCAUCGCUUGAAUUGCGGAGAGGUGAGUGGAAUUCCGAGUGUAGAGGUGAAAUUCGUAGAUAUUCGGAAGAACACCAGUGGCGAGGGCGGCUCACUGGACGCAUAUUGACGCUGAGGUGGCGAAAAGCGUGGGGAGCAAACAGG
rnacentral:rRNA from 1 species